GACGAACGCUGGCGGCGUGCUUAACACAUGCAAGUCGAACGGAAAGGCCCUGCUUUUGUGGGGUGCUCGAGUGGCGAACGGGUGAGUAACACGUGAGUAACCUGCCCUUGACUUUGGGAUAACUUCAGGAAACUGGGGCUAAUACCGGAUAGGAGCUCCUGCUGCAUGGUGGGGGUUGGAAAGUUUCGGCGGUUGGGGAUGGACUCGCGGCUUAUCAGCUUGUUGGUGGGGUAGUGGCUCACCAAGGCUUUGACGGGUAGCCGGCCUGAGAGGAUGGCCGGCCACAUUGGGACUGAGAUACGGCCCAGACUCCUACGGGAGGCAGCAGUGGGGAAUAUUGCACAAUGGGCGGAAGCCUGAUGCAGCAACGCCGCGUGCGGGAUGACGGCCUUCGGGUUGUAAACCGCUUUCGCCUGUGACGAAGCGUGAGUGACGGUAAUGGGUAAAGAAGCACCGGCUAACUACGUG
rnacentral:rRNA from 1 species